CUUCGAUUAUGACGCAAGCCAGAAAUCAAAAGCACCUGAGGUCCUGCUGCAAUCCUGGGACUCCAAGUCAGGGAUCAUAUAGGGCCUCUGGAAGAGCGACUCCUUGACGCACACUGAUCCGCCUCUCACGGCGGCCGGUCCUCCAGGCACCAUCUUCUGCUCCUCUCAACUAGCCUAUCAUCAUCAGUAGUAUUGAAGAACUGCCUGUUCAGAAUUCUCUACAUCAAAGACACUUCUGCAAUUUAAAAAAUACCCAAGAAUCAAUGCAGGACUCCACAUGCAGAAUUGCAAAGGAAAGCGGGGAGUGUGGCUCCUUCCAGCAUCUCUCACUUCACACAGCACCUCUUUAGCAAUGACUGGUGGUGUUUUAUUGGUGGGGAUACACAUUUCUUGUUUCCCAGCCAAACAUAUAUGCACAUCUUUAUGGACACCUGCAACAACUGUGAUUGUCUAAAUAACAACACAAAGGAUAAACAGAGACCCCAGGAAUGGCAGAUAAGGCUCAGUGAAUACAAACGAGCUGACACAUUUUAUAUUUGUUUCCUGGGCUGGGUUCCUGUUCAGUUUGAACCCACAGGCAAUGUUAUGAUGGAAAAUUCCACAACUGGCACACAACUUACAUUCCAAUUUGUAUCCAAGAAUCAAUUUCAGCAAAUGAAACUGGAAUUAAAACACAGAAUCUGAG
rnacentral:lncRNA from 1 species